CCGGCCCGCGGGAUCGUCGAGGCAGGCCCUGGAGGAGGGGGUGGGAAUUUGGGGAACAAGAGACACGAGAAAUGGAGACAAGACAGUGCUCUGAUCAAGUCUCGUUUAAUGGCGGUAAUGCAGUGCCUUAUAUACACUUGGAGGGGAAGGGGUUGGGCCAGAGGCGGAGAUGAUCUCAUCGCAGAGGGCGUGACCAAGUAGGUAUUGGUUUCUCUGGUCGAACGUCAUGUUGCACCUGCGCUGUCAGUUGGUAAUUUUCCCGGGCACGGGAUGGUGCCUGUGCUACAAAGUAACAAUUUUCGCCGCUGCGGGGGG